rnacentral:lncRNA from 1 species
GUAACUUUUUAUAGAACACUGAAACUAAUUUUACAUGGCAGGGGGGCAUUUAUGUCUUACAGACAUUUUCUUGUUUGAAGGAAAGUUCCAUGGUCAAAUGCAAGCCAAAUUUAUGAAUUACAUGUGGAUCUAAUCUGCAAGGGGUUUGAGCCCAACAGAGGUAAAAUUGACUAAAUUUUCAAUGGUCUUCUUAUUCAGGCACAGAAAUGCUAGAAUCAAAUACUCUUCAUAGAUGGAAUUAAGGUCCUGUAGGCCUGUUCCAAAUUUAUGAAUAUUUUACUACCUCUGGAUCAUUCAUUCCUCCUUGAGAAGGGGUUAAUGUUUAGGCUUAAGCAAAAAAAAAAGUUUUUCAUGCAACAUUCCAGAGAAUCUCAUUUUAAUUUCAUGGAUCAAUAUACUUACAGGGUAAUAACAAAUGUAAGAAUUUAAAUGAAUUUCUAUGCAUUUCAAUGGUUGUUAUUCUGUCAAGAAUGUGGUCAGGAUCCCAUGACCAUAACAGGAAGAAAGUGUAUGUGAUCUUUGCCGGACUAUUAAUUAAAAUGAUCUUCAUGGAUACAAAGUAGGUGAUAAAAUGUUCCCUACGGUCCACAGGAAAAUUUAAGGUCUGGUUUGGUAAGCAUGAAGUGUUAUGAAGUGCCAGUUUGCCAACCUGAUCACUGGUUUUUGACAGCAGACCGUCUACUUCAUUGAUACUCUGAAUAACUCCUGCAGUGAAGAGGCAUUUCCUGAACAAUGGAGCGACAUCCUCGAGACACAAUAACAGAAGCUUUCUAAAGACAUGCAAACCAUGAGAUGGAAACUUGCUUUGUAAUUCACUACCAGUGACUGGCAGUCCUGAAACAGAAUGUCCAACUUUUCUUGGCAAAUCCAGACCUACCAUCAGGAUGCAGUGUCAUGUAAGACACUGCAAGAGCUUUGUCUUUCUGGGAUUCCUAAGCCUUUGAAUGGAGAAAACAAGACAUUGCUGCAUAUAUGACGAUGAAAAUACCAUAUUGUUGGACAUUAAUUAAAAAGAGCAUUGACCAAUGACAUGUAUACCGUGGCUAGUGAUUGAUAAUUGUUGUGAUUUUUCUGAUUUGGCCAUACAGUCAGAAUGAAGGAAAGACAAAUAUCAUGGUUCAUGAACUUCAGAUACACUUUUAAGCUCCUCUGGUACAAACUGUCAUAAUCUUAUGGUAUAGUGAAGUGUCUGUCAUAAGUCUGUCUGUCAACUUUUUCUUUAAAUUACUUUUUUAAAUUGAAAAUCACAGGGCCCUUAUAUUUGGUCAGCAAGUACUUGGGAUAAAUACUUUAAAGUUUCAUCAUGUAGAUUACCUUGACCUUCUUUCAAGGUCACAGGUGUCCAAAACAGGCAUCAGUUUCUUAAAAACUGGUCUUGAGUCAUGAUAUUUCAUGAUGAUUAUAUUUUAUUCAGUAUUCCUUUGCAUUGCUUUGUUUAAAAAAUAUUUUUUUCAAAUUGUUCCAUCAAAUAUAUGUACAUGUAUGUAGAUAUAUGUAAUGACAGCAUACUUGUUGAUAACUUUGUCGUAGCGAUUGUUUUGUUAACUUUUAUGCAUAUUGAUAUUUUUUUAUGAAAUUAAAUCAUUGUUUAUCUUC